GUUUGUAAUGUUACAUUAGAACUCACAAAUUUAUGUUUAUGUAUGGAUUUCGAUUGACUUUGUAAUAUCCAGCUGUCCAAAAUACGAAUGGAGUAAAUAAAUUAAAAAAAAACAAGAAGGAAUAAGGGAAAUCACAGGCGCGUUGUACACUGCUCAUCGACAGCACGUACAGAGGGCAUGCGACGAAAGACCUCCAUCCUAUCCCUCAUCGAGACCACGCGAGAAUAGAAGUGGGGGUGAGAGUUGAUUAUAGGCUGCUUGCCAGUUGAGGAAGGAUAAGGGAUUCGAAUUUGUCGAAGGGAGAAGCACUGGAGGUUGGAGACCAAAUCCCCCGCUUGCUAGAAGAACUCGAGUUAUAGAUCCACAGGCCUUUGACAGUCGAUUUCGAACAAAAACAAACUGAAGCAGGAAGUUGAAUGGAGGGAGAACGCUAAGAUGAGACAUGAUGGAGUAGACACAACGGAGGCACACACGAGCUAAAGGCUGGAGUUUUGGGCUAAAUCGAUAUUGUGUACCCUAUUGAUAUGUUUCCUUUACUAACCCUUUAUGUCUUUGUAUUUCUGGAUUUUACGAAUUACGUGUGUCAUGUUCGUUCUUUUGUGUGUAUAUCGUGCGGGUCGUGCUGUAUUUCAAAACAAUGUCAUACUAAAUUUAAAUUUUCUUUAUGUGCAUGCACGUUUAAAAGUUUUAAAUCUUACGCAUUUUUACUUAUUCCCA